AGUAAUACAUAAGUAACCUGCCCUAGACAGGGGGAGUAACUAUUGGAAACGAUAGCUAAGACCGCAUAGGUACGGACACUGCAUGGUGACCGUAUUAAAAGUGCCUCAAAGCACUGGUAGAGGAUGGACUUAUGGCGCAUUAGCUGGUUGGCGGGGUAACGGCCCACCAAGGCGACGAUGCGUAGCCGACCUGAGAGGGUGACCGGCCACACUGGGACUGAGACACGGCCCAG
rnacentral:rRNA from 1 species